rnacentral:misc_RNA from 1 species
GAUGAAGAACGUAGUGAAAUGCGAUAAGUAAUGUGAAUUGCAGAAUCCAGUGAAUCAUCGAAUCUUUGAACGCACAUUGCGCCCGCCAGCAUUCUGGCGGGCAUGCCUGUUCGAGCGUCAUUUCAACCCUCGACCUCCCUUUGGGGAAGUCGGCGUUGGGGACCGGCAGCACACCGCCGGCCCUGAAAUGGAGUGGCGGCCCGUCCGCGGCGACCUCUGCGUAGUAAACCAACUCGCACCGGAACCCCGACGUGGCCACGCCGUAAAACACCCAACUUCUGAACGUUGACCUCGAAUCAGGUAGGACUACCCGCUGAACUUAAGCAUAUCAAUAAGCGGAGG